rnacentral:rRNA from 1 species
UACGAAGGGGGCUAGCGUUGCUCGGAAUCACUGGGCGUAAAGCGCACGUAGGCGGCUUUCUAAGUCAGGGGUGAAAUCCUGGGCUCAACUCCAGAACUGCCUUUGAUACUGGAAAGCUUGAGUUCGGGAGAGGUGAGUGGAACUGCGAGUGUAGAGGUGAAAUUCGUAGAUAUUCGCAAGAACACCAGUGGCGAAGGCGGCUCACUGGCCCGAUACUGACGCUGAGGUGCGAAAGCGUGGGGAGCAAACAGG